AAAAGCAGGCUGCCCGAGCUAGCAGCAGCAACCCGGUCAGGUCCCCUUUUGUGCUGUGGAAGCUUUGUUCUUUCUCUGUUUGCAAUAAAUCUUACUGCUGCUCACUCUUUGGGUCUACGCCGCCUUUAUGAGCUAUAACACUCACCGUGAAGGUCUGCAUCUUCACUCCUGAAGCCAGUGAGACUACGAACAAACGCAUUGGGAGGGACGAACAAACGCAUUGGGAGGGACCAACAACUCCGGACAUGAGGAACAAACAACUCCAGAUGCGCUGUCUUUAAGAGCUGUAACACUCACAGCAAAGGUCUGCGCCUCACUUCUUAAGUCAGUGAGACCACAAACCCACCAGAAGGAAGAAACUCCGGACGCAUCUGAACAUCUGAAAGCACAAACUCUGGACACACCAUCUUUAAGAACUGUAACACUCACCGCGAGGGUCCGCAGCUUCAUUCUGGAAGUCAGCAAGACCAAGAACCCAUUAUUCCGGACACAAAGGGGCAGCUGCUGUAGCUGUGUCACCUGACAAGCAACCAGCGCCCCCGCUGCACAAAGCAGCAGCAGCAGCAGUUUCAGCACAGCCCAGAAACGAGUGUGCUUCCGGGGGAGUGGCUUGCAGGGGCAGGAUUCGGACUUAGAUUUGGGGGCCUAAUUUGUUUCCUUGUUCCAGGGAGAAGAUGUCCAUCUAUAAGAAAGUGGUCCCUCAGCAGACACUGAAUCUGCUGGUGUCCUGAUCUUGAAUAUACCAGCCUCCAGAACUGUGCAAGUCAUCCCUGAGGAAGUAGUGACCAGCUGUGGAUGCUACGCUGAGGCCCUUCUUUAAGAGUGAUCUGAUGGCACUGGAUGUCUGCUGAGGCUUGUGUCUAGAAGGAAUGAAAGGAUGUGCCAACAACAGCAGUUGUCUCCUCGUUUUCAAAGCUCAGGCCUCAUGCAUCAUUUCCAUGGAUAGCUUUCUGAAAGACUGCCUAUCCACUUAGAGGUGAGGAGAAGUAAUAGGGGAGGAAACCCUGCCGAGCUGCAAAAAGUUCUAAAUCCAGUCCUUUAAUUAUCUUGCUUAAAAUUCUUUAUUGGCUCUUUGAUACCCUCAGAAUAAAGCAAACUGCUUAAACAUGACUUACAAAGUAAUUGCUAUAGUUUGAAUAUUGUCCCCCAAAUCACAUGUUGAAAUUGAUUCCUAGUGUCAGAGGCGGGGACUGUGAGAGGUGUUGGGGUCAUGGGGCAUAUCUCUCAUGAAUAGAUUAAUGCUCUGUCAGCAUGGGGUGGGGUUGUGUGAGUUCUCACUCUUAUUAGUUCCCAAAGAGUUGGUUAUUCAAAAAGAGCCUGGCAUCUCCCUCCUUUUUGUCUCUUGCCUCCUCUCUCACGUGUGAUCUCUGUGCAUGUGCCUUUCCGUUGCCUUCCCCAUGAGUGGAAGUGGCCUGAAGCCAAUGCUGGUGCCAUGCUUCCUGUACAGUCUGCAGAACUAUGAGCCAAAUAAACCUAUUUUCUUUAUAAA
rnacentral:lncRNA from 10 species